GGUCGCUAAAACUGGAAUAUGGUUGUCUGGAUAAGACAAUAUGUAUGAUAUUGACAAUAACAUCCCUAUAUUAGCACAGACUCGGGAGCUAUAUUACGGCUGGAUACCAGGCUAGGUAGUAGCCGUUUUUCGUCGACAAUUUUCGGUAAUUUCCGGUCGCAUGACGUCAUGAUUUGCGAGCGAUUGAAUCAAGAUGGCUGACCCCGGGAGUUCGAAGACAAAGAGAAAGCGUUGCUUGGAACCCCGUCAUCUUUAGAUACCAGCCAAGAGACUGAAGAUUUAAGAGAAUCUAAGGCUCGUGGGCAGUUGGGCGUCAUCUUUGGUGAGUGGAGAAAGCUAAGAGAGCAGUUCGGACUGAAGAGGGAUCUCGACCUGACGCCCAAACUGUUAGACAGAAUGUCGGGAGGCAGUUCCAGGACUUACAGGAUACCAUGGAAGCCAAAAGCUGAGCUGGUUGGACGAGACGUCACAGACGUCACCAACGCAUUCGAUGAAUGGUGUCGACCGGAAAUAGUCCAAGCAGCUUCCGCUAUUUGACAAAGAUUGGCCACCACCUUCACCUGAAGCCGUGUGCUGUAAAGGUAAAGAAGA